UACGGGGGGGGCAAGCGUUGUUCGGAAUUACUGGGCGUAAAGGGCGCGUAGGCGGCCUGCUAAGUCGGACGUGAAAUCCCUCGGCUCAACCGGGGAACUGCGUGUGAUACUGGCGGGCUUGAAUUCGGGAGAGGGAUGUGGAAUUCCAGGUGUAGCGGUGAAAUGCGUAGAUAUCUGGAGGAACACCGGUGGCGAAGGCGGCAUCCUGGACCGAGAUUGACGCUGAGGCGCGAAAGCUAGGGGAGCAAACGGG
rnacentral:rRNA from 1 species